CAGUAGCCGCGGUAACACGAGGGGGGCAAGCGUUGUUCGGAUUUAUUGGGCGUAAAGGGUGCGUAGGCGGUUUGGCAAGUCUUGUGUGAAAUCUAUGGGCUCAACCCAUAGUCUGCACGGGAAACUGUCGGGCUUGAGAAUGGGAGAGGUGAGUGGAAUUUCCGGUGUAGCGGUGAAAUGCGUAGAUAUCGGAAGGAACACCUGUGGCGAAAGCGGCUCACUGGACCAUUUCUGACGCUGAGGCGCGAGAGCUAGGGGAGCAAACAGGAUUAGAUACCCCAGUAGUCCCUGUCUUUUAUAC
rnacentral:rRNA from 1 species